rnacentral:tRNA from 1 species
UAGAGAGAAGCGAAUACGCAAUCGGUUUCGGCCCGAAGACUGGGAGUACCCGUACUCCCCUCUCUAA